rnacentral:rRNA from 1 species
CUGCUGCCUCCCGUAGGAGUCUGGUCCGUGUCUCAGUACCAGUGUGGAGGACCUUCCUCUCAGAACCCCUACGCAUCGUCGCCUUGGUGGGCCGUUACCCCGCCAACCAGCUAAUGCGACGCAUGGCCAUCCGCAGCCAGUAAACCUUUGGACCCGAAGGGAUGCCCCUCCGGGUCGUUACGCGGUAUUAGACGGGGUUUCCCCCGAUUAUCCCCCUGCUGCGGGCAGGUUCCAUACGUGUUACUCACCCGUGCGCCGGUCGCCGGCGGAAGCGCGAACG